GUGAGUAUAAGUAAAAAAAUUAAAUAAUCAAGCAAAUAAACAGCUACUAUAAGCAUGCAUCUAUGUGUUGAAGCAGUCAGAACUGCUUCAUUAGAUGUCUUGUCCCUUCGCUUUAAAGAAACUUUAGAGCAAAGACAGUUCAACUUUUCUUCCAGGCAGAUUACUGUCCAGGGUUUUAAAUUUUAACAAAAUGAGGGCCAUCCCACCACCAUACAUCAGUCCUGUCCCUAAAAACUUUGUAUCUACACACACACACACACACACACACACACACACACACACAAUUCAGCAUUGAAAGAAAACACUAAGAUAUUCCAGUUAUUUCCUUAUUUAAUGCCCCACAAAAUAGUUGGUUUUAGUUUCUGCUUAAACAAAUACUUUAAAACACUUUAUCAUUUAUUUCAUGGAUAUGAAUUAUAAUCAUCAUAUUUAAAUAUUUCCUGCUACCCAAUUGAACCCCAAAAUAUUUGCCUAUUUUAUGCACAUAAGAGACAAAUAUGACAGGGCUAAGCCACUCAAAAAAUUACCUUAAAUAAUCUAAUUUUUACUCAGUUGAUAUUUUUAAUCUACAUUUUGGGUAAAACAUCAAUGACAUUCUAUCUGGGUCCCUUUAACCAUCUAAACACAAGCUCUGGAACCACAUAUUCCCCACUUGGUGGCAACUUUGGUCAGCAAUUGCCCUGGACUUUCCCCACUUAUAUUUAACAGGUUGUCACUCAGACUCUCUCAGGAAAACUCGGGACUGUUCUCCAGAAGUUCUUACCUCACAGUCUCUGAAUUUAUCCUCCAUUAAAGGAGUGUUCCUGCCACUUGGUCCUUGGCUUUUCCAGAAUGACUUUUGUUGUUUUUAUCACUUUAGCUUUCCCCUAGUUCUUUUAUACCAGACUGUUAUUCUUAAGUUUCCACAAUGUGGAUUUGUUCUCUCAAAAUCGUGCUUGCUUUUCAUGUCUUGAGGGUAAGGAAAGUAGGAGACAAAUAGUGCCUUCCAUAUAUCCCAAAGGAUUUAGGCAAAUGUAAGAUAGAGUUCGUUCCUCAAGGAUUUAAAUGCACAAUUUCACCUUCUCCAGAAAAGAUAGUGAAACCAUUUCCUGUCUUCCUAUUUUAUGUUUAUAUCAACAAGUGUUAUAAUUCAAGAUAAUAUGUACUUCCUUUUAUUCAAACAAAGUUCGUUCUGGGUAGAGAAAGUUAAGAACAUGAAAUGACACUUUCAACAGAAAGUGUUGUGUUUUUCAACAGAUUUUGUCUCUUUGUAACUGUGACUAGAAUUGAAGAAAUAUUUUAAGUCUAUUUAUCAAUAUACACAUAGCACACACAUGCACACUCACACACAUUCAUUGCUGCACACCUUUAAAAAAUGCCCCUUUACAACCAGAAAAUUGGUCUGUGCACUCUAUCUGCUCAAAUAAAGUAGAGUUUAAUACAAUCUGGCAAUGCUGUUUAGGUUACAGCCUACAUAUUUUGCCCUUUAUUCUCUUUUGCUCUUUUACCCAGAGGAGUCUAUCAAGAAACCAUGUACAGAAAUAUCAAGUAAAAUAUAUCAUAAAAAAGGGACUCUGAGAACCUAGUGACCUGAAAAAAUGUUACUUAUGAAACUAAUGACCUAAGAAUGCCUUUAAAUCGAAGAGCAUCUAGUACAGCAAAGAGACCUUCAAAAUGGGCAUGUAAGCACUGAUCCAGAUAGAAGAUUAAAUAGCACGAUAUAUUAAAAAGCAUAAGAGUUAGAGACGAAUGCUGAAAGACCAUGAAAAAUCUCAGAGACAAGUCAUUUCUGGGACAAUAAAUAGCGGAAGACAGCAUUUAACAAUGAAUUAAGGGAAAUUCCAUUCUUUCCUGUAUUUCAGCACUGCGGAAGUCUACGAAGCAGUUAAUGUUAAGAAAUACCAUUGACUAAAAAAAAAAAAAUGAUUUUCUGCAUUGGAUGUUAAAAGAUAUGAAGCAAGAAAUUGACCAUUCAGUGGAACAAUGUGAAUCCUAAAUUAUCUAAAUAAAAACAAGAGGAUCAGUUAAUUCAGAAAAAAGAAUUGUAUAAAUUCUGGAACUCGGUAGAUAUAUUCUCCUUAACAAAUUCUGGCAAAGAAUUCUCCCAAUCACUUAUUCAUUAGGGAUUGAGAAUUGACACUAGAAACAGAUAACUUGUGCUUAAUAUUGUGCUUAAGCUUUAAGCAUAGAAAAUUUCCUUGAUGCAAGGGGGUUACUGUGUCACCUCAAGUUAAAAGGCAAUUUAGGAAGUGAUAUGUAACUAGCAGUUUGAAAGUAUUCUAAAUAUUACUUGCUAACAAAAUUCACUCUCUACAGAAGGGACAUACCUAACAAAGAAUACAUCUUGCAGAUUGCUACAUAAAGAGUAAGUACAUUGACAAAUAUUAUGUACUUAAAAUAUAUACAGCUCUGUACUUAGCAUGCCACAUAGAAUUCCUUAAUAUUCCUCUUAACAGCUGUACAAGUUAACUUGACUUUUAUACGCAUUAUACACAUGAAAAAAAUGAGAUGAGAAAGGCCAAAUAAAAUGAAUGAAUGAAUGAAUGAGUUUUUAAAAUUUAUUUUGACAUGAGAGCCAAUCCUAUCAGCCUUGCUGAUUUCUUCAAAAUACUUGCAAAUAAGUUGCUAUAAUAUAAAAACAUCUUCUUAUUGUUUCUCUCUCCUUAAGGAUUUCUCUGAGACAUUUCUAAUAUUUAAAUCUUUUUUCCCAUAGGUUGUCUUUCACGGUACUUUGUAUACACUACUUUGGGUUCAUAUGCCUCAAGUGAAAAAUUGGUCUAAUAACAUUAAUACCUCUGUCACAACCCCAUUGCACAUGAUCAGUUCUAAUAAUGGGUUUUAAAGUAAUUUUGUUUUAUUUUAAAUUACUAUUCAGAUAUCAGUCACUAUGACAUCAGACUUUUUACUCUCUGUGAUAGUUAUAUAUCAACUUAGCUGGAGUAUAGUAUCAAGUUAUUCAAUAAAACACUAAUCUAGGUGUCACUGUGAAGGGAUUUUGUAGAUAUGAUUAACAUCUACAUUUAGUUGACACUAAGUAAAGGAGAUUUUCCUUGAUAAUGUGGUCAAGCCUCAUCCAAUCAAUUGAAAGGCCUGAGCUUUUCUAGAGGAAGAAGUAAUUUUAUCUCAGGACUCCAGCAUUAGCUACUGCUGGACAAUCCCAGCAUCCCAACCUGCCCAACAGAUUUUAGACUAGACUUACCACCUCAUAUGAGCACAUAGCAGAUUCCCAGAAAUCAAUCUAUCUACCUAUGUAUCUAUCAAUCUAUCAUCUCUCUCCUACUGCUUCUGUUUCUGUAGAUGACACUGACAGAUGUGAAUAUUCACAUAAAAGCUGUCAAUAUGCAUGUUCCUUCCUACUACUUGUACCAAUUAAGCAAAGAGUGUAACGGAUGCAUAUUUUUCUAAAGAAUUUCUGUAUGUGUUCUCCGAUUAUUGGUCAGAAAUAAAAAUAUGUUUAUAAUGCAAAAUUCAUAAAAUGUGUAUAAAUGAUAAUGUAUAUGCCUAUAUAAGUGUGUGUUUUUCUGUGUAUACAUAUAUGUAUAUAUGAGUGUGUGUGUAUGUGUGUGCAUUUUUUUGUAACUGAUACUGUGGCCUUUUAUAUCUACCAAAAUCCAGGACUAGUUUAGAAAAGAAAUUACAGCAGCAUUCUAAAAUUUACUUGUUUGAUAUAAAUAUAUUUUUGUAACUUUUUUUGCCUGACAUUUGUGCUGUAAAUCAAAAGUACUUUUGUGAAAGCAAUUUUUUUAAACAAUCUUCUCUGAAAUUGUGUAGGAGGAAGUGAAUCGCUACCACUCAAUCCUGACAUUAAUUCAACAGACACAUAUUUUGAUUUCUGAAGAAUUAUGGAAACAUUCUUUCAGAAGAGAACAAUGAAAGAUAGCAUUCUGUGUUUAGCACAUUUCCCCUUUCCAAGUGGCAGUGGAGCGUUGUAACAGCAAAGUAAAUUGCUUCUUAUUUCUAUGUGCUUUUUAAAACUGUGACACUGACUGAGCUGAACCACCAAGACCACAUCUGUACACAGCUAAAUAAAAGGUUUUACAUGAUGGCAAAACUGGGCAGAAUUAAUUUGUCCUUGGAUGUACUGAUGAUUGCAAUGCUUACACCACUGCUUUAUACACAGUAGGGUAACACUCAGAGUACUAUCAUGAAAUUCAGUUUUUAAUUUAAAAGAUUUUGAAAAAAGGACUCAUUACACAGGUAUGGCCAAGAUGAAGAGACACAGAAACGUCUGAUUGUAUACUGUAGCAUUAGUGACAGAUUGCCUGAGCAAGAAGUGAGAAAAAUAUUACUGAAGCCUCAGAGAGUUUGAAGCUUUAGAAAUAAAGCUGCCUAGCAAGAAUUGCAACCAUAGAAUAUAGUCAUUGCCCCAGAUUGAAGCAAGGCAAGGACAGGGGUUUGUUAGGAGUGAUGAAUACCUUGAUCUUUCUCUGUUCCAGCCAGCCCUCUAAUUUUCUGUGAUACUACUGGCCAAACCCAAUCAGAGGCUAAAAUUCAAGUGAUAUUGGGUGAUACGUGUGUAGGGCCAAAACUCCUUGAAAACAGAACAGGGAAGGGCUUGGAACAAUGGAGUUUCAAGGAGAGUAGCAAAUUAACAUAGUAGACAUACAAUCUAUAAGUUCGAGUUGAGGGCAGAAAUCAGUCUAGGCUGUUCAAUGGUAUGAAGUCAGGAACAAGGAUCAUACUUCUGAGCCAUAUGGAGGUAAGAUGCUAGAGGGAGAUGGUAAGUAAGCUACUAUUUUUUCCACUUAUGUAAGUAGAAA
rnacentral:lncRNA from 10 species